UCACUUUCAGUGUUUCUCUGAUUAACACUGAAAAAAGAAACCAAUGUCAUUACCUAUUUCCCUCAACUUUCUAGGUAGAUAUUUUGCAGUUACAAGAAUUGUUUGUUUAUGAAGCAGUUGGAGAAAUGAUUGUAAUCCAGAAUAAGGGUAAAUGAUGAAUGCUAACAAGUAAUUCACCAUUGUCUUACCAAAAGAAAAGCAAAGUUCUGAAUGGUGAAUGAAAGAGACCUACGCAGAAGAGAGAAAUAACAACUCAAGGUUGCUAAUGAAAAAAAUCAGUGCAUUGCAGAGGGAGAAUGGCAACCCUUAAGAGCCUGGAAAUUGGCAAUAACUCCUAAAAACUCCAAGUGAAUAAAUGCUCCCACACAAGAAUAUUCUUCAGUUCUGCUGUUGUCUCCUAGUUGCUGCGAUUAUCAUCAUCAUCACCAUCACCAUCAUCAUCAUCACCAUCGCUAACAUUAACAUGAUCAUGGGUGCUAACAGCUUUUUAGAGCAAGCAGAUUGCAAAUAGGUGAGCUAAGCAAGGAGUCUCAAACAUUUGUAGCAAAGUUAUCUUGAUGAGCUGAGAAAGAAAGACCACAUAUGAAGACACUGAAGUAUCACAUUCUGUCUUAAAUUCUAUGCACUGUUAUAAAUAAAAUGAAGCAAAAUCUAUACAUUGUUUUGGCUUGUAAACAUGAAGUUUUUCUAUCUGUAUAAAUAAAUUUAUAUAGAUACUAUGUGUAAUUUUACAUGACUAUGACAUUAAACAUGCCAUUUCAACA